GGGGGUGGGGAGAGGAGAGGAAGAGGGCCAGCGAGCAAGGGCUUGAAAGAGUGGCUGGCAGCCUGGAGCCCCGCGAAGAGAGCGAGCAAGGAAGGAAGCCAGCUUAGGAAAGCAAGCGACAUGGUGGCUGUAUGGACAGUCUGACAGAACAGAGACUGACAUCUCCCAAUCUGCCGGCCCCCCACCUGGAACACUACAGUGUUCUGCAUUGCACCAUGACCCUGGAUGUGCAAACUGUAGUCGUUUUUGCUGUGAUUGUAGUCCUCCUGCUUGUCAAUGUCAUACUCAUGUUUUUCCUGGGAACGCGCUGAAUGGAGUCCAGCCACCUGAGCUGUCGUGAACUCUCGCUUUGAUUUCAUCCCGAGAGCCACC